rnacentral:sRNA from 1 species
CAGGAUGAGACGAGUAUACCUGCAGCAGGUUCGUGUCGAACGCAGUGAGACAACGGAGCCGCCUGCGGCGACGGCCCGAAGGGCGAGGCGAAGCCGAGUCAUCCUG